rnacentral:rRNA from 1 species
UACGAAGGGGGCUAGCGUUGCUCGGAUUCAUUGGGCGUAAAGGGUGCGUAGGUGGUGGGGUAAGUCGGAUGUGAAAUCCCGGGGCUCAACCCCGGAACUGCAUUCGAUACUGCCUUGCUCGAGUACUGGAGAGGAGACUGGAAUUUACGGUGUAGCAGUGAAAUGCGUAGAUAUCGUAAGGAAGACCAGUGGCGAAGGCGAGUCUCUGGACAGUUACUGACACUGAGGCACGAAGGCCAGGGGAGCAAACGGG